GGGUAGGUUAGGCUGGCACGCUAGCCCUGUGCCGUUUGUAAAUGGGCUUUAUGACAAGCUGCAAGAGGAGGCGUUAUAUGCUUGUUGGGGAGUCCUGACUUGGACGUUGAGGUCUUGUCCUGCUUGAUCUUGCCCUAGCAAACCGGGUCAGUUCCGGAAGGAGGCAGCCCUAAGUUAGAGUUAAGAUGCUUGUAGGGUUGCAAGGCUGAGGAAGAGUUAGGGUAGCUUUCUAGUAAGUAUAGAAGCAAAUCCUCGAACCUGCCC
rnacentral:SRP_RNA from 1 species